rnacentral:rRNA from 1 species
AACGAACGCUGGCGGCGCGCCUAACACAUGCAAGUCGAACGAGAAUCCGGGGCAACCCGGUAGUAAAGUGGCAAACGGGUGAGGAAUACAUAGGUAACCUACCCUUGAGAAGGGAAUAACCCGCCGAAAGGUGAGCUAAUACCCUAUACGCUAUCUUUUUUUCGUAAAGGAAUAGGAAAGACCGGGUCGGAGGACCUGGUACUCAAGGAGGGGCGUCAUGUCCUAUCAGCUUGUUGGUGGGGUAACGGGCCUACCAAGGCUACGACGGGUAGGCUGGUCUGAGAGGAUGAUCAGCCACACUGGCACUGAGAUACGGGCCGAGACUCCUACGGGAGGCAGCAGUGAGGAAUAUUGCGCAAUGGGCGAAAGCCUGACGCAGCGACGCCGCGUGGGGGAGUGAA